GUCCUGAUGGCAAGUACCAGUUUUUGGCAGGGCGGGGAAAUAGGUCAAGAAGCAACAAGGCACCGAGAUAAACAGAAGCUUGACUCACUAAACUCCACUUCAUCUACUCCUAGGAAAGAGACGGGUUUUCUUUGCUUGAUAAUAGUCAUCAUCCACAGCCAUGGGACUGUUCAGCUCCCCUACACCCUAUCACGGACAGGUAUACAGUGAUCUUCGCAAGCAGGCCCAGACAUCAGGACAUCCGUUCAUAGACACGGAUUUCCCUCCAGAUGACAAGUCCCUGUUCUAUACCAAGGGGAAACUGGCGGGAGUGGAAUGGAAAAGACCCAAGGAUAUUUGUGAAAACCCCAAACUGUUUGUCGAAGGAACAAGUAGUGGGGACGUAUCACAAGGCCAGCUGGGUAACUGUUGGUUUGUGGCAGCUGCAUCUUGUUUGGCCAAUGAGAAGGCAAUUUGGCAGAAGGUCAUCCCAAAUCACAAGGACCAGGAAUGGGACGACCAGCAUCCAGAAAAAUAUGGCGGCAUAUUCCAUUUCCAGUUUUGGCGAUAUGGCGAGUGGAUUGACGUUGUGAUCGAUGAUUUCUUGCCUACAAUUGGGGGCCAGUUGUGCUUUGUGCACUCAACAUCCAAGAAUGAAUUCUGGAGUGCCUUGCUGGAGAAGGCAUACGCAAAGUUAUUUGGUUGCUAUGAAGCACUAGAUGGAGGUAGUUUGGAAGAAGCUCUCACAGAUUUUACAGGUGGUAUCGCAGAAGAUAUUAACAUCAAGGAGGGCCAAUACGCCACAGACACAGUCAAGCAGAUGGAAUUAUGGGAUAUGGCAUACAAGGAGAUCCAGAGGAGAUCGCUUAUGGCAGCUGCAAUACCUGCCCAAUCAGCAGAUGAGAUGGAGGCAAAAACAGACACAGGUCUGGUGAAAGGCCACGCCUACGGAAUUACCGCUGUGAAGAAAGUGCCACUAGAGGGCACUGGGCUCUUCAACUUCUUCAAGAAGGACAAAAUUAAGAUGGUGCGACUGAGGAACCCGUGGGGAGGAGUUGAAUGGACGGGGGCUUUUAGUGAUGGAUCGCCAGAAUGGGAAAAGAUUGGAAAAGGAGAUCGAGAGAAACUUGGACUGACUUUUGAAGAUGAUGGAGAAUUUUGGAUGACUUUCGAUGACUUCUGCACCUAUUUCACCAAUAUGGCCAUAUGCAGGGUGGUGAAUACAUCGUUCUUCAGCCUUCACAAAGCGUGGUGGGAGGCAAAGUUUCACGGUGCCUGGAAAAACCCCAUGAGAGCUGGUGGCUGUUUGAACAACAAAGACACAUUUUUGAGGAAUCCUCAGUACGUCUUCAAGAUAACAGAUGAAGAAGAUGAGGUGAUGAUCUCUCUGAUGCAGAAGAGUGGGCGUGGAGACGGAGACCCAGAUAAACUGACAGUGGGAUUCUCAAUAAUGAAGGUUGAAGAAAAUCGGCGUUACAGAGUCCACAGACCACAAGAGAUUGUCAAGUCCUCAGCCUUCAGAAAUAGCCGUUCAAUUUUCCUCCGCCAUACUCUGAAGAAAGGGCGCUAUGUGCUCUUACCGUGUACUUUUGAACCUGGAAAAGAGGGACAGUUUUUGCUGCGGAUGUAUACCAGUUCUGAUAAUGAUGCAAGAGAAAUUAUCCGUGACCUCCCUCCACCAGACCUGUGGAUGCCAUGUUUUCUACAAACAGACCCUCAGCAAGUGGCACACAUUGUAGUCAAAAAUGCUGUUGGUCUUGAAAGACAGGAUACAGCAGAAGGAGUGGUUUGGUCCAUGAUCACCCUGUUCCUGGAUUUUAUACGCCAUGUUUUAUGUGGACACCACCUCAGAUAGUAACUAGAACAGUUGUGAAACAAGCAAAUGGCCUUGAAAAUUUGGAUAGAUCCACAGGUGGAGGCGCAGACCCGUACUGUAUCAUAAGCUGUGAGGGAGAGAAGGUGACCACUCCCGUUCAAAAGGACACUCUC
rnacentral:misc_RNA from 1 species